rnacentral:rRNA from 1 species
CAGUAGCCGCGGUAAUACGAGGGGGGCAAGCGUUGCUCGGAAUUAUUGGGCGUAAAGGGUGCGUAGGCGGCUUGACAAGUCUUGUGUGAAAUCUAUGGGCUCAACCCAUAGUCUGCACGGGAAACUGUCGGGCUUGAGAAUGGGAGAGGUGAGUGGAAUUUCCGGUGUAGCGGUGAAAUGCGUAGAUAUCGGAAGGAACACCUGUGGCGAAAGCGGCUCACUGGACCAUUUCUGACGCUGAUGCACGAAAGCUAGGGGAGCAAACAGGAUUAGAUACCCCUGUAGUCCCUGUCUCUUAUAC